rnacentral:rRNA from 1 species
AGUUUACUAGAGCUUUCAUACAGGUGCUGCACGGCUGUCGUCAGCUCGUGUCGUGAGAUGUUGGGUUAAGUCCCGCAACGAGCGCAACCCUCGUGUUUAGUUACUAACAGUUCGGCUGAGGACUCUAAACAGACUGCCUGGGCAACCAGGAGGAAGGUGAGGACGACGUCAAGUCAUCAUGGCCCUUACGGCCAGGGCUACACACGUGCUACAAUGGGGUAUACAAAGAGCCGCGAUACCGUGAGGUGGAGCAAAUCUCAUAAAAUAUCUCCCAGUUCGGAUAGCAGUCUGCAACUCGACUGCUUGAAGUUGGAAUCGCUAGUAAUCGUAGAUCAGCAAUGCUACGGUGAAUACGUUCCCGGGUCUUGUACUCACCGCCCGUCACACCAUGGGAAUUGAAUUCAUUCGAAGCGGGGAUGCUAAAAUAGCUACCUUCCACAGUGGAUUUAGUAACUAGGGUGAAGUCGUAACAAGGUA